CUGGUGAAAAAUUGUUUCUGGAGAUAACAUAUGUGUAAUAUUUUUGGUGAGAGUGAGUUUCAAAUUUUCCAACAUGUUAUUGUUACUGAAUUGUCUUUUAUGGACCAAAGCAGAGUUUAUCCAAAAUCUCUAUAAAUUCAGGGCAUAAUAUACUCAUUUUAGAAAAAGAAAAAAAAAAGGUCCCAUUCUUUUUUAUCAGAAACUAAUAUACUAUGUCAUUUUGGUAUUCAGAAUCAGAGAAUGAAAGGAAACUUAUGAAGAAAAUUAUCUGUUCCAAUUCCUUUCCUGUGCAGGAGACCACAUCCAAACAAAACUAAGAGGAUUGCUCUCUUACAAAUAAAAAGGAAAACAGAUGAAAUCCCUCCAGAACACCAGUGUUUAUUUUCAAGGACAUCUUCUAAUAUCUUGCCUACAUCUUUUAUUCUGUUUAUAUAUGAUAUUAUUUUACUGGGCUUGCUUCAUGAAAAGUAGUACAACUACCUUGUUUUCUCUGCUCUCAUAAAAUAAAUUCAGUCUCUGAUUUACCCCCCAACCAAGUUGCCUCCAGCCUCUAUCCUGUUAUACAGGAAAAGAGUGAUAUGUCUUCAACUCCUCUUCUAACUACUGCUCUAUCUCUCUGACUCUCUUCACCAUUAAGCUUCUUUAACAAGUGUCUUACAUCACUUUUCUUUACUUCCCUGGAACUCUUCAACCCACUCUCAUCUGUCUUUUCUCUUAUUACCCCAAUGAAAUGAUUCUUGGCUGAGGUCAAACAUGGUUUCCUUGUUACUAAAGCCAAUAGACCUUUCAUAGUCUAUUUACUUGACCUUUUUGUAGCAGUUAAUACUUUGGACAAUUGCCCUUCUGAAAAUACUCCCUUUGUCUUGUUUUCUAUGACACUACACUUUCCCAAUGUCCCUGGCCAUUCUUAUCAGUGUACUCUGUUCAUUUAUCUUUCUCAAACUGGUAAAUAUGUUUGAAGUUCUUUAAGAUUUUGUCAGGAACACAUUACUUUGUUUCUGUAUUCUUUCCCUAGGCAAUAUCAAUGGCAUUUAUGGAUUUAGUGAUUAUUAUUCUAUGUUUAUAGCCUUGGCCUUUCUUAGUUUCAAACCACAAAUAACUAAACUCUAGACAACCUGUCUAUUGGAUAUUGCACAUGAACCUGAAAUGUAUUAUUUCCAAAACAUAAUUCAUGAUCCCAACCCUUAUAAUGCUUACAGUACUUUCUACAUCAAGAAAAUGACAUGGCCAGAAAAUCAAGUACACAAACCAUAAAUCUGGAAAUCAUCUUUGACUACCUUUUUUGUCUAUACUCCCAGAUAUUGCUGAUUAAUAGCAUUUGCAGAUUUUACUUUCCAAUGUCUUUAUUUCUCCUAUAUCUUUAUCACAAAUUUAAUCCUUUUAAAUCAUCCCUAAUCUGGCCUUCAGCAAUAGUCCACUAUCUUUCAAUUGGGUUGUCCUUUCGCAUUGCAGCUGCCAUGAUCUUUUCUGACUAAAAAGCUAACCAUGCCAUAUGCUACCCACACACACACUCAUGCAUAUAAAAUCCUUUAUUGUCUUCCCAUGACCCUUAAAAUCAUGACCAAAACCUUAGCAUCAUUUUUCAUGAAAAUCUUUCAACGUAUAUUCAAUUUCAUGUUUCUAUUCUUUCUUUUUUGGAUUCGGCUAUAUAAGACUACAUUUAGGUUAUCAAAUGCUUACUGUUCCCUUUGUCUACUCUGUCGCUACAUACAUUUUCUCCUUUUCCUGGAAUGACAUUUUCCUUUUCUCUGAGUUAAAUUCUUAUUCAUACCAAAUUUAAUUCAAAUUUCCUCCUAUAUAUCUUCUUUAGUCCCGCAUAGUAGAUAGACCACUAUGACAUAUGUUCCCUGAGUAUCCUGGAUAAAAUUUUUAUAUUCUGUGCCAUGAUUUCUAUGGCUAAAAUUGUCAUAUCCCCUCCACUAGAAAGUAAGCUCCACAGUGGUAAAGUGGGAUCUGUAUCCUGUGCUAAAAACCAUGGCCUGAGCAUAGCAGAUACCCAAUAACACUGAGUAUUAAUAUUUCCUCACUUUGGAUAAACACAUGAAUGAAUGUCUGAUCAAGGGAAUGCCUAGAGCUUAGCUACAGUGUCAGGAAAACAAAACUUCAGAUUCACUUGCAGCUGAGGUUUUCACAGGCACUGUAGAAAUUAUCAAAUUGUUGAGAUAGUUUCAAGUACACCCGGGAUAAUGAUAAUAAAGUCCUUGGCAUCUGGUUUAUUAAAGAUCAGCCUGGUUCUUCUAAUCUAGUGGGAAAAUGAUUUGAGAAAAAGAUCUUCCAAGUGUCAACUACAGACAAAUUGCAGGGGUCUGUGGAUUGUUCAAAUUGUUGCACUUAUGCUAAACAGAUGAUGGUGCAUAAGGAGGUAUAUUCAGUUAUUCCAGAGACUGGGACAUAAUUACUCUUCAAAAAGCAAUUGCCUAGUGUGGAGUACCUUACCCAGAGUACUUAAAAUUCUGUUAUCAACUCAACUCAUAGCUCUAAAGAAUUGUGAAAAUGUAUAAGUUAAGUAAAUAAUUAGGAAUAGGAGGAGAGGGGAGCACACUAUUCUGUGAUAACAAUUUUUCAUUAAACAUAUAAUAAAUAUCAAUUAUACAAUGUCCUGUACAUAGAAGUAUGGAAAAUUCAAACAUCUAAAGAAUAGUGUCACUGCCCUUAAAGGACUUAAAAAUUGUAGAAUUCCUAAACUCAGACUUACCAAGACCAAGAUAUUUUCCUUUGGUCUCAGAUUUAUUAUCUUAGGUGUAUAAACUUAUUUAUAUAUUAAAAUACAUUACAUGCAAUAUGCUUAAAUUAUGUAUUACUUACAUCUAUCAUAAUAUAUUAAUAUACUACAUACAUAAAUUUAUAUAUCAUUAUUCAUAUCAUUAUAUAAUUGUGUGUAUAUAUAUAUGUACUUAUUUUCUCAAAUGCACUUACACCAAAUUUAACCAGAUCCAAUCAAAAAGAUCAUGCUAUCAAGGCUGAAGAAACAGAAGGUAUCUAAAUAUUUAAUAAGGUAUAAGCCUCUGAAAAUUGGUGCCCAUGCAUAUACCUCUAGUCAGUUGAUUUUAUUUAAUUCUCAUAAUAGCCCUAGGAGAUAUAUUUUACAAGUGAAAAAUCUGAACCACAGAGAGGUCAUAUAACUUGUCCAGUUAGUGACAAACCCAGACCUACUUUAUUCUAAUUUCUUUGAUUUUUUUUCACCCAAUCAUUUCUGUGUUCCUGACAGAUAUUAAAUAUUUUAUAGUAAGGCAUAUGAGAAUCAGGACGGGAAUAAAGUGCAAUAUUAUUUCAACGACUUUUAAAAUGUUUUCGGUUUACAAAUUGGCAGUUCCACUGGUGAGAGAGACAGAAAAAGGGAAUGAAUGUAUACAUGUAUAUGAGAAAAUAAUUGGAAAUGGGAAAGAAAAGUUGAGAACUCCAGUUUUUAUCAUUUUACAGAAUACAAAAUUAAAUUACAUAGUGGCUUCAAAGCAUGUGCUAUCUUUCUCUGUAUGACUAGUUUAGCCUACCACUAACACUAUUGUAGUAGGCAUGAAUGAAUUGUAGUGUUAGUCUCCAGGGAAAGUUCGUGAAAGUCAGUUCUCUACAAUGUGUGUCAAUUCCAAAAAAUCCAACGGCGUUCUGUAGAAGCGGCAGAAAAAUUGAAGAAGUCCAUCAUUAACUGCUUCGAUUUCUCUGGUUAACCAAACAAAUAUCAGAGAGAAAUUACCAGAUCAGGAAGGAGAAGUGUAUGUAAUAGAACCCUUGGUAUCUAAUUACAAAAACACUUUGAGGACUAUCUAGUAAAAGCCAAGAGUGGAUACUCUCUUAAAAUGAAGUAUAAACAGUACCUUAAAACUCUUUUCUUUUUCUCCUGCAUGAUUGCUCCCUACUAAAAGUAAACAAACACAUACAUGGAUGGGGUGCAAACUGUGGUUCAGUUUCCUUGCUACAGAUCUUAUUGCUUCUCUCUAUUUCUCCUUCAUUUCUAAAUUCCUUUCCCACCAACAGGGUUUUAAUCCUAUUGAUUGUAUUGUUGUUUAUUUGUUUAUUUUUGUGAAUGCAAUCCUUUUCCUUGAAACUGGUUUGGAAGGUCUAAUGCUUUGUAAGAAAUGUGUACCAAAAAGGCCACAAAGGAAAAGAACUUGGGAGAUAUCCAAGAAAUUUAAGAAAGGUAUAUUACAAAGAAGUUAGGUGACAAUCUGAUGAAGCCAUGUCCUUUUGUAACAGAAAAUAGAUCAGACAUAAAUUAGAUAGUUUACAAGAUUUUUCCACAUAUUGGGGGUAGAGAGCAACUAGGUCUAGUAUGGUUAGGUCACUAGCAAACUGCAGAAAAGCAGACCUACCCCCAACUACAGAGCUAUAGAGUAUGCUCUGGCCAACAUCUUGAUGGAAUUAUGAAUAUAUAGGUGCCUAGGUGCUUGUGACAGAUAUGCCAAGCCAUGGCCUGACUCUAGAUUACAAAACUACCCUGUAUUCACUGCACUGUUGUAUUUUAUUUUUUAUUUUCUUAACAAAGUGAUCUGUGAAAACUGAAAACAUUUUAGGAAAUGGGGGAUUUGACCAUUCCGAAGCUAGAAUACACAGCAGAAUAAGAGUAGUCCUCAGUAGCAGGCAUAGUGGAGGAUAGGAUCAUCCCACUUGGAAAAAUGGGGAAAUGAAGACCCAACUAGUUUUUUUUUUUUUUAAAUGGUGACCUAAAAUCUUGAGAGAAGAUGUUCAUGAGAUGGUAACAACUAUAGAUUUUAUCCCACUCAUGGUGUUUCUACACAUAGGAUGCCACUUCACACCAUGUCCCCAGUGCACAUAGCCUCAUUAGUUAAAGUUCUAAUUUGCAUUUGCAAAUUGCCAGGGAUUAGGAUUAAUGAUAUUGGCAUCCUCUAAUUUACCCUCAAGACACUAAGGACUAGAGAAAUAAGUAAUCAUUCUACCAUGUGUGCUAACAUCACAUUGAUCCCCAAACCAUGAGUACCAACAAAUGUAAAGUUACAACCUAAAAAUUAGACAAAGGACAGAGUAAAAAUCAGUUACCCAAAAGAUAGUUCAAAAAAUGAGUAAGAUACAUUCUCUAGGUUUAUAAUUGAUAACCUUAAAAGCAAGGAAAAACAUAGAGCAGUAAAAUGUUUUGACUAAAGACCCAAUAUGCCAAAUUUUUUUUUUUUUUUUUUUGGUCUCUUUGUCUUUUUGCCUUCUCAAGGGACGCUUCCUGCGCAUACGGAGGUUCCCAGGCUAGGGACUGAAUCGGAGCCACAGUCACCGGCCUAAGCCAGAGCCACAGCAAGCAGAAUCUGAGCCGCGUCUGCAACCUACACCACAGCUCACUGCAAUGCCAGAUCCUUAACCCACUGAGCAAGGCCAGGGAUCGAACCCACAACCCCAUGGUUCCUAGUCGGAUUCGUUAACCACUGUGCCACGACGGAAACACCACAAUAUGCCAAAUUUAUCAUUAAUAUUUCCACACUCUUUUCAAAUAGCUGAAGAAAAUCAUAUUCUUCACCAGAUAAUACACUUCUAGUUAUGUCGUGGUAGAGCAAGCAAGGCAGACUGGAACUGGCAACAGCAGCCAAAAAAAAAUCUCAGGGAAAUCACAGAGAGAUCAGCAGUGAAAGCCUCACCAGUUAAAGUUCAGUAGAGGUCCCAUACUCUCCCAUCUGCAUGCCCCAUGCAUAGUGAAACUGUGGAAACUGGAACGUGGUCAAUCCUCCAGCUCUCUAGGGAUAGAGGAUUCCUACCUUAACCAUGUCUUCAUUGGAGGUUGACAAGGAUUCAAGUCAGGGCACCAAGUUUUAUCCCUCUGCGUUAUUUCUCUUGAUUCUUGCCUACACACAGCAAGGAUUUGGAGGUGUGGGUGGUCUGGCUGGCGGGGACUAUUCCAGCUGGGAAGUGCUGCAGUGGUGCUGGGAUAGAACCAGCAGUCUGGCGGCUUAGGGAUGGAGGCAGGUAUGCUCUCUAGGCAGGAGCAUUCGGAAUGGGAGCAGCUCUGGGCUGAAAGAAUUCCCCUCAAACCCACAGCACCUGUAGGUCAAAAGUUACAGCUCUUGCUAGAGCGUUUUUAAUGAGCCAUUCCUGUUCCAUCUCUAGAGCGAAAAACACUCCCAAUGUGGUUGCCUUGGAGAUCGCAAUAAACUUCAAAUCAAGUUUGUAGCAGUGUACAGCAAAUUUUAUUUACACCCUCAGAGGGAGAGUGAGCUGUCCUGGAGUAGGGACUGGCUCUGCUUGCAGCCUUGGACCUUACUGGGGAGUCAAUUUCUCCUGCCCCAGGCCCCCUAAUUUUCUUAUCCCAGCCCACAUGUGCUUUGCAUAAGGGUUGGGUGUUGUUUGAUCUCUGUUUGGGGCUACAUUUUGAUCCUGCGAGUGGUUUUAGGUGAGAGGCCUUAUCUACAUGGAGAAUAGGUUAUAGGGAAUUGUUUUUCAAAGAGCAUGCCUCAUUUCUAUAGGGAAGUGCUCAAAGGAGCAUAUCUCUGGUAUCUGCAUAUGUCCUUAUUGUUUGGAAUAUGAAACUGAUAUUCAUCCUUUCAUAGCAAGGAGAGUACCCUUCACUUCUUUCCUAUUCCCUAGAAUACCAGGUACAGAGCCUGUAUUUAAUAAAUCCUUUCUGAUUGAAAAGUGUAUAUGAGUCUAUCAGCAUGGACUUAUAUAUUACAAGGCAGACUACAUAUACAUUUGAGAAUACUGUCAGGGUGGUUGAAAAAUCAAUAGUAUCACUGACACUUCCAUUAGGAAAUAAACAAAUAAAAACCACCGCUAGGUUCUUUCAGAAUUGAGGUCCAGAGCUCUGGCAUCGUGGGAAAUUAUUUUUUGGUUUGUUUACCAAAGAUAGUAUGUUACUGAGGUUGCUGUAAGGAUGUGGUUUGCUUAGUUUUUGUUUAGUUUUGUUUCUGCUUCAAGGCCAGUGGAUAAGACAUAUAUUCUAUCUCAG
rnacentral:lncRNA from 1 species